ensembl:lncRNA
GACCUCCGUGCCCCCGGGCUGAAAAUGGAUUUGGGCUCCUAGUUUAGUGAGCAAGUCUCUUCCAAGUAAAGGGAUCCGGAACGUCUUCCAGGAAUCCCGGGUCGGCGGCCCUCGCAGCGCAUCUGCCUAGACCGUCUGUCGACCUAUUCAGAAUUGGGUCCCCCAAAUUGCAGACAAACAAAGAGACACCAGACACUCACCGGCCAGCAUCAACCUUCCGGGAUCGGACUCGGGACCCUGCACUUGCAAGGUAGUCAGCGGAACCACUGAGCUAAAUCCCCAGCCCUGGCUCUGUCCUCUUUCAAGGCUGUUACAAAACGAUUGUCCUUGUCUUGUUUCUGUAAGUCCUCUUGCUAUGUCACUAAAAAGACCACCAAC